rnacentral:rRNA from 1 species
UACAGAGGGUGCAAGCGUUAAUCGGAAUUACUGGGCGUAAAGCGUGCGUAGUCGGUUAUUUAAGUCGGGUGUGAAAGCCCCGGGCUCAACCUGGGAAUUGCAUUCGAUACUGGAUAGCUAGAGUUCGGCAGAGGGAAGCGGAAUUUCCGGGUGUAGCGGUGAAAUGCGUAGAUAUCGUAAGGAAGACCAGUGGCGAAGGCGGGUCUCUGGACAGUUCCUGACGCUGAGGCACGAAGGCCAGGGGAGCGAACGGGG